rnacentral:lncRNA from 1 species
CCACUAACAACUAGAAAUAUUACUUUAUCUCCAAAUUUUAUAGGAAUGAGCGUUACUCAACAUAAGUCUAUAAUAACAAAGACUACUCAAGACACUAAAAGAAUGACCAUGGAGCGACUAUAAGAGUUCAAAGAAAAGACCAUAAUAAUUGACAAAGUUUUCGCCUACGCAAACAAGUGCGAGGCUCACCAAUAAUUCUCAACAUGUGCUCUCUAAUUAACGAAAUCCUUAUCCGCGUCAACUGCUGUCUCUGAAAAAAUAAUUAGCGGGGAAUGAGUCGCUAGCUCAGUGAGUAAUAACACUUAACCACAACCGUUUUUAUUGGAGGCAAGUCAGAAAAUAUGCUAAUAUCUCAAACAGAUAACAUCAAAAUGCCCUUUCAGAAACAAUAAAUAAUUUUCAGUCUCAUCAUGUUUUUCUUGUAGGAUAAUACAAUUAACAGUUUAGUAAUAAGCUCGGAAACCCCUGUAUAAUAUCAAUAUUCACAUUUGGGAGAUUUCAAUGAACGAAUCAUGUAAUCGGUAUAACUGUGGACUUCUUCGCAAGAAGUCAAAUAUAACUGUAGUCCCUACUCGAGGGAAGUCGGUAACGGUAUGCUAGUUCUACCUUCCCACUAGCGAGGGCUAUAACGCUAAUAUGUAAUUACAAGGUGCACCAGGUUUAACGAACCCACCGUUAGCUACGAGAUCCUUCAAUGUCUACUCCCAUUUAUACUUGUCUCUGUAAUCCGUAUAUACUCGUAGAAAAUCUUUUAAAUCUAUAUAGGGCAUUUCAGUUCUUAUCAGAUCAUAUAAUUUCAUUUCGAUAACAGUAAAUUCAAGUAACAGUAAAACAGAUCUAGUGACAACAAAAAUAUUUAAAACCACGGUAACCAUCUCAAAUAACUAUUUCGGUAUCAUAUCGAGUAAAAGACUUGUCCCACAUGCAACUCAAAAUAAUCGGUAAUAUAUUCAUCUUAAAAAUCAUGUAUAAAUCAUGCAAGUUAUGAAAACACAAAUUGCGGUAAGAUUACUACUCACAGUACUCGUGCCGAAAUACCAACUGUUUCACCUCAAGCAACUCGUACAAAUUCCUCCAAUCAAUCUAUAAUUACAUAAUAUCGAUCUCAUGUUAAUUUUCUUAUUUAGGCUAAUUCAUAGUUAUUUUAGAAUACCCAAUCAUCGGGGUUCAUGUUUGAGUCUUAAUUUGUGGAUUUAUAUUGACCCACAUAUGAGUAAUUACUAAUUUAUCAACUCCAACCUAUUCAUAAAAUUUAUUACUCCAAAUUUCAUAAAGUUCUAUUGAUUCUUUAGGAAGAAAAUUCUCAAUUGUGUGAAUGAACUAGUGUAAUUUCUAUUACUCUGUAGAAUCUUCCAAUCAAGAGAAUCGAAAUUAAAAUCUACCAGAAUAAGAAGUUCAAGUAAUACCCGUAAAAGACAAUUAGUGCUUAAGAUUCCUCAACAGUUAUAAUUAUGGCUCCAACGCAGUGCACCCACUUCUUCCUCCUUCUUUUCUCUUUUCCUUCUUUCUUUCUCUGCUUUUGUUUUCCUUUUUUUUCUUUUUUUUUGUUUCUCGUUUCCCUUAG